AACUAACGCUGGCGGCAGGCCUAACACAUGCAAGUCGAGCGAGGACUUCGGUCCUAGCGGCGGACGGGUGAGUAACGCGUGGGAACGUGCCCUUUGCUUCGGAAUAGCCCUGGGAAACUGGGAGUAAUACCGGAUGAGCCCUUUGGGGGAAAGAUUUAUCGGCGAAGGAUCGGCCCGCGUUGGAUUAGGUAGUUGGUGGGGUAAUGGCCUACCAAGCCGACGAUCCAUAGCUGGUUUGAGAGGAUGAUCAGCCACACUGGGACUGAGACACGGCCCAGACUCCUACGGGAGGCAGCAGUGGGGAAUCUUAGACAAUGGGGGAAACCCUGAUCUAGCCAUGCCGCGUGAGCGAUGAAGGCCUUAGGGUUGUAAAGCUCUUUCAGCUGGGAAGAUAAUGACGGUACCAGCAGAAGAAGCCCCGGCUAACUCCGUG
rnacentral:rRNA from 1 species